rnacentral:rRNA from 1 species
CCUACGGGAGGCAGCAGUGGGGAAUAUUGGGCAAUGGGCGCAAGCCUGACCCAGCAAAGCCGCGUGAAGGAAGAAGGCUUUCGGGUUGUAAACUUCUUUUGACAGGGAAGAGCAGAAGACGGUACCUGUCGCCUAAGCCACGGCUCACUACGUGCCAGCAGCCGCGGUAAUACGUAGGUGGCAAGCGUUGUCCGGAUUUACUAGGGGUAAAGGGCGUGUAGCCGGGCUGACAAGUCAGAUGUGAAAUCCGGGGGCUCAACCCCCGAACUGCAUUUGAAACUGUUGGUCUUGAGUAUCGGAGAGGCAGGCGGAAUUCCUAGUGUAGCGGUGAAAUGCGUAGAUAUUAGGAGGAACACCAGUGGCGAAGGCGGCCUGCUGGACGACAACUGACGGUGAGGCCCGAAAGCGUGGGGAGCAAACAGGAUUAGAUACCCCAGUAGUC